rnacentral:rRNA from 1 species
GAUGAACGCUGGCGGCGUGCCUAAUACAUGCAGGUCGAGCGAACAGAUGAGGAGCUUGCUCCUCUGACGUUAGCGGCGGACGGGCGAGUAACACGUGGAUAACCUACCUAUAAGACUGGGAUAACUUCGGGAAACCGGAGCUAAUACCGGAUAAUAUAUUGAACCGCAUGGUUCAAUAGUGAAAGACGGUUUUGCUGUCACUUAUAGAUGGAUCCGCGCCGCAUUAGCUAGUUGGUAAGGUAACGGCUUACCAAGGCAACGAUGCGUAGCCGACCUGAGAGGGUGAUCGGCCACACUGGGACUGAGACACGGUCCAGACUCCUACGGGAGGCAGCAGUAGGGAAUCUUCCGCAAUGGGCGAAAGCCUGACGGAGCAACGCCGCGUGAGUGAUGAAGGUCUUCGGAUCGUAAAACUCUGUUAUUAGGGAAGAACAAAUGUGUAAGUAACUAUGCACGUCUUGACGGUACCUAAUCAGAAAGCCACGGCUAACUACGUG